rnacentral:lncRNA from 1 species
CUCCAGCGGAUGAACCUCCACAACGCCAUCUGAAGUCCACUAUUGGUCGACCCUCUAUCGAAUUCCUCAUGAAAACAGACUUCUCCAACAGAAAGUCUCCAUCCGAGCUUCUACAGCAGAUGACUUCCGCCUGCAGCAUCAGCACUCUAGGCACCCGACAAUAGUGGACUCAUCAGCAACCUCAAAAACAUCCGAGCCUCUCUUAGAUUAUAGAGAUAUAGAGCCAUUCCGCUCCAUCAGAUGUCCCAGCCAAGCUUUAGCCAUCAGGCCUGAACUCUCUGGCAAGUCAUGACAAUGGCCACUACCUCACUCCACUCUCUGUAAUGGAUUCCACGUGGCUCCACCACUCUCUGACAAGUCAUGAUAAUGGACACCACUCCACUCUCCAUAACAAACUCCACGUGGCCCUGAACGGCCCCCUGAUGUCACUACUCUCCGUAACAAACUCCGCGUGGUCCUGAACAGCCCACUACCAGGUGAUUACAGAUGUCGCUGUCAAUCAGUUAUGCUCUCUGUCUAUAAAAAGGGACCCCCAGAUAUGUUCUUCUCUAAGAUCUAAACUCUAUCUCGAAACUCUACUAAAAUCCCAUUCGAGUGCUCCAUUUCUGUUGAGGCAGAGUACUGACUUGAGCAUCGG